rnacentral:lncRNA from 1 species
UCACUUUCCCCCCCUGACAUUUAAAAACCUACACUUUGCCCCCUUGUAAAAUGAAAAAUGUUCACAGGGGGGUUACGGUGUGUAAAAUGACCAUUUUGCCCCUCGCCAUUGUUGUCUUCUUCCUGAGCUUCCUCAGCCGCCCCUUCGAUCCGCCGGUUUUCCACCUCAAUCGGCCACGAUUCCUCUCAAAUUUCUUCUCCACCUGCUCCCCUUCUCCUCCUACACCGUCGCCGCCCAUCGAUUUCGGCGAUGGGUGUUGAUGGAGAGGUAGACAGGGACAACGAGAGCGAAGACGAGGCUGCGGAGGAGGACGAAGGGGACGUGGGCGAGGGCGAAGCAGUGGAGGACGGCGAGGCGGCGAGGCGGCGAGGCGGCGAAGCGGCGAGGCGGCGAGGCGGCGAAGCGGCGAGCCGGAGGGAGCGAAGCAUCCGAGAAAAGGCAGAGGGGUAUUUUCGGUAUAAAAAAAUAUUUUUUAACAGAACCCCUAACGGAACCCUAACGGAAGGGGUGAAGUGCACAUUUUUCAUUUUACAAGGGGGCAAAGUGUAGGUUUUUAAAUGUCAGGGGGGGAAAGUGAAAAAGCGGGUUAUUACAAGGGGGUUUUCUGUAAUUUAGCCAUUUAUUUUAAUUAAGGCAUUGA